rnacentral:lncRNA from 1 species
CCCAAAUGGGUUAUUCCGGAAUAGCCCAUUUGGGGUGGGAUUAGCUAACCCCACUCCACCCCACUACUCCAACAAAACAAAACACUAUUUUAUCCACUAUUCUUCUUAUCGCACCUACUCCAACCAAACACUAUUUUAUCUAUACUUGGACUAAAUCCAAUUAUCAACUAAACACAAAAUUACUUAACCCCAUCUUUACCCUGAAUUUAACUUUAUUUCUGGAAUAACAAGUUUUUAUUUAAUCCCGAACUAAACGCUUUUGUCUGUAAAUUGGGAGAGGAGCCACCGGUGGAAGAAUGACUCAUACUUCGUCCCUUACUCUUGCUCGAGGCAAGCUCUUGAGGCCUUUUUAAUGACUCAUACUAUCUGUGGUCUUAUCAUCCUUGGUCAGAUCAUCCAAACUAUAUUCAAGAAUCAAUUGUUGCAGCUCUUUCUUGUGACAUCAGAGUAAACAAAUUAGUUCCACACGUGGUGACACUAAAGCAGUCAGAGAGAAUGUGAUUUUUCUAUUGUUGUUACCUUUUUGAGGGGAAGGGCAUUACGAGAACACAAACAGACAGAUAGUAGAUAAGUUAAAUGUGCAAAGAUUGAGGCCAUGUCCUCCUCCCUCGAAAACGUUGUGGCUCUGCGCUUGUACUACAGAUAAUGCGAGCUAAUACAGGUUACGAGUGUGGGAUGUACCGACCGUCCCUAGCGUAAGUGGCAAAGUUUACGGGUUAAGAGUGUGGGAUGUAUCGACCGUCUCUAACGCAAGUGGCAAAGUUUGGUACCCGAGAUUUCAAGUUCGAAUCUUCGUUGAUUCACAUUUCCAACUAAGUUUAUUUUUAAAUGAAAUAAAUAAAGCGGGUAGCAUGCUACCUAUCUCUCUCAAAAAAAGAAAAAAGAAAAAAAGAGAGAGCGUGGGAUGUUAGAUGAGAAUCAAUUACACGAACUUGAUGCAAUUGGGACGUGAGUUCUGAGUAUGAUUCAAUUUAACACAUGUGAUGAUUUAAUGGACAAAAAAUUCAUGAAGAUGGUAAAGUUUUUGCACCUGUGAGAUUAGUUAUCAUUGCUUGGUGCAUGAAAUUGUAUUGAAUUGCUAUAUGGAUUUGUCCGUCUGUUUUCGUCCAUGCUGAUUGAUCUAUCAUAAUAGAUCAGUUGAUAAUUUGUUUCUUUGUCUUCCUAGUUCAUGUCUGAGCAUCACGAACAACCUUAACAAACAAUAACCUUCAUGGUGUCUUCCCGCUUCAUUAGUUGAACCUUUUAUUCUUUAACAUAUAAUUACAAAAUUAAAUUUUUUCAACCGCUUUAUACUUUGUGCUAUAAGUGCAAUGCUUUUUUCCUUUUCUUCUCUUUUGGGUUCUUUUAAUAUUGAAGAGUGCAGUUGGUCAGCUGGUGAUGGUAGUACACUGCAGAAAUUGCCCUUCUUGACUGUAAACUCAUGGUUUUUGCUUAAGAAUUAAGUUGCUCGGUUUUUGAAAGCGCUGUUCUGAUUUCUAGCUGAAGAUGAAAAAAAAAAACUUUGAUUGGGUUUUCUUUUUGGUCGUGCAAGAAAUGAACCUUCCAGAUCUGAUGUUGCAUGGAUUCCAUGUUUUGUAAAUUCUGUGACCAUUCUAUCUGCAUUAGUCUGAUCCAUUCUGUUGAGUGUAAUCACUGCAUUAGUCUGAUCGAUAAAUAACAGUACUUUUGAUGUGAUGUAGCAGCUUAAUGACGGGUGACUAUUGCCAUGUCAUCUCUUGGUAGUUGAAUUAGCUGUCAUAUUAUUACUUUUAUCAGAAAAAUUGAUCGAAAUUUGAGCAGUGAUCUAAUUGCAAUAAAAAUUAAAGCUUAGUAACUUGAUUGAAAUAAAUCGAACUCCAGUGACCUAAAUGAAAUUGUACCCGAAGUUCAGUGAUCAAUGUAUAAUUUACUGUAAUUUUCUUUUAGCCCUAGCUCUCUGAUUGUCAAUAAAAAAUGCUGUCAAUAAUUCUGUAGAUCUGUUGACAUGGAGGUAUCUCAGGUAGGAAAAUUUGCUGUAGAUUUAUUGUGGAAAAAGGGUUAGUGUAUAUUUCUAUAACUUUUUCUCACGAUGCUGUUUAGUUAUAGCUAGUGAUUUAAGUGCCAGGGCUUGGGGUUGUGUCAAGCACUUGCCGGCAGUAUGACAUGGUGCGUGUCGUGCCGUUGUCCCAUUCAUAAAAAUAACCUAUAUGUCAGCAUAUUAUAGUAUGAAAUAUAUAUUUUCCUUAGUAUCAAUAUAUUCUGAUUGUUUAUAUUUUUAUCAAGCCUGUUGCGCAUUAUUAUUGAUAUAAAUUCUUGCUAACUUCAAAGAAAAGAGAGUUUUGAGUUGUGCUAUUGGUAUGAGGGUUGUAUUGUGUUGAAAUUUUGUUGGCACGGUGCGGCAUUGUGGGGAUGAGUUAUGUCGAUGAGCAAUUAAAAUUCUUUGUUAUAAUUCAGGUGGAUGCUCAUCCAAUACACUGGAGGUUUUUAUAAAUUUUUAAUAUGCUUUUGUCUAGUUGUUACUAUUGAGAAAUACAAACUGCAACAACAGUUUUGUCAUGCAACAGUCUAUAUCUUCUUCUUCUUUUUUUUUUUUUUCUUUUCUCCAGCUCUUGGUUUUUGCUUUUUAGAGUUUUCUUGGGGUUGCAGUGUAAGUUUUGUCUGUAAAUUGGGAGAGGAGCCACCGGUGGAAGAAUGACUCAUACUUCGUCCCUUACUCUUGCUCGAGGCAAGCUCUUGAGGCCUUUUUAAUGACUCAUACUAUCUGUGGUCUUAUCAUCCUUGGUCAGAUCAUCCAAGCUAUAUUCAAGAAUCAAUUGUUGCAGCUCUUUCUUGUGACAUCAGAGUAAACAAAUUAGUUCCACACGUGGUGACACUAAAGCAGUCAGAGAGAAUGUGAUUUUUCUAUUGUUGUUACCUUUUUGAGGGGAAGGGCAUUACGAGAACACAAACAGACAGACAGUAGAUAAGUUAAAUUUGCAAAGAUUGAGGCCAUGUCCUCCUCCUCCCUCGAAAACGUUGUGGCUCUGCGCUUGUACUACAGAUAAUGCGAGCUAAUACAGGUUACGAGUGUGGGAUGUACCGACCGUCCCUAGCGUAAGUGGCAAAGUUUACGGGUUAAGAGUGUGGGAUGUAUCGACCGUCUCUAACGCAAGUGGCAAAGUUUGGUACCCGAGAUUUCAAGUUCGAAUCUUCGUUGAUUCACAUUUCCAACUAAGUUUAUUUUUAAAUGAAAUAAAUAAAGCGGGUAGCAUGCUACCUAUCUCUCUCAAAAAAAAAGAAAAAAGAAAAAAAGAGAGAGCGUGGGAUAGAGAGAGCGUGGGAUGUUAGAUGAGAAUCAAUUACAUGAACUUGAUGCAAUUGGGACGUGAGUUCUGAGUAUGUGGAGAAUUUUUUUUUAUUAAUAUUUAGAAAUAAAGAAACGAGAAA